AGCAUCCGCGGACCGGACGGGAGGCGCGUGGCGGGCCCGCCACGCGCCUCCCGUCCGACGUCAGUGCC
rnacentral:miRNA from 1 species